rnacentral:piRNA from 1 species
UAUGUCACAAGACAGGAGCACCGGGA